AACAGCAGAAGAUGUCAUUAAAAGGGUGGUUAGUUCAGAAGACCGUAAUGUUCAAAUCGUUCUUAUUUAGUGAGGCUAUUACCAUGAUGAAGUUGCACCACUGGAACAUAAGAGUGAUAAUCUUAAAAAAACAGUAAUGUUCUAAAACUUUGAAAUGUUGGUAAAGCAAAUAUUUGACUGAUGCUAAUUCACGGUAAAACACCAAAAUUGAAGGGCAGCUUUUAGUUUGGUACUAUUUAAAGAGCCAAAUCGUGUUCUCAUUUGUUUUCCUAAUCUCCAGAUCAAGACCCAUAGUACUGAUUGAAGCUGACGUGUCAUUCAGCCCAAACCGAAUUCCUACUCAGAAUGUAGACUGCUCAAAACCAUUGGAGAACACAGCUGAAAUCUGCUUUACUAUGAGUACAAUAUCUACAGUCAACACAGCUCAAGUGAAGAUUAAUUAUACUUUAACACUGGAUGCCACUCGCAAGCCUCCAAAAAACCGAGCUUACAGCAGUGGGAAACAACAAGAGGAGUCCGGAUCAGUUAUUAUUGACUUAAGAAGAAAAAAGUGUUCAACUAUAAAAUUUCUUAUUGAGGCCUGUCCAGAAGAUGCUCUUAAUGAACUUUCCAAUUAUCUUGAAUUUUUGUUUUAUGGGUUGCCCUCCAACACAAAUCUCAG